AGGAUGAACGCUGGCGGUCUGCUUAACACAUGCAAGUCGAACGGAGUACCUCGGUACUUAGUGGCGGACGGGUGAGUAACGCGUGAGAAUCUGCCCUUAGGUCGGGGACAACCAUUGGAAACGAUGGCUAAAUACCGGAUAAGCCGAGAGGUAAAAGAUUAAUUGCCUAGGGAAGAGCUCGCGUCUGAUUAGCUAGUUGGUGAGGUAAAGGCUCACCAAGGCAUCGAUCAGUAGCUGGUCUGAGAGGAUGAUCAGCCACACUGGGACUGAGACACGGCCCAGACUCCUACGGGAGGCAGCAGUGGGGAAUUUUCCGCAAUGGGCGAAAGCCUGACGGAGCAAGACCGCGUGAGGGAGGAAGGCUCUUGGGUUGUAAACCUCUUUUCUUGGGGAAGAACAAAAUGACGGUACCCAAGGAAUCAGCAUCGGCUAACUCCGUGCCAGCAGCCGC
rnacentral:rRNA from 1 species